rnacentral:rRNA from 1 species
CGCGUAGGUGGUAGUGCAAGUCUGAGGUGGAAUCUUAAGGCCUAACCCUAAAAUUGCCUUGGAAACUGCAUUACUUGAGUCAGUGAGGGGAGGGUAGAAUUCCUGGUGUAGCGGUGAAAUGCGUAGAUAUCAGGAGGAAGGCCGGUGGCGAAGGCGGCCCUCUGGCGCUGAACUGACACUGAGGCGCGAAAGCGUGGGGAGCAAACAGGAUUAGAUACCCUGGUAGUCCACGCCCUAAACGGUGGGCACUAGGUGUAGGGCUCGUAAGGGUUCUGUGCCGAAGCGAAAGCAUUAAGUGCCCCGCCUGGGGAGUACGGCCGCAAGGUUGAA